ACGGGGUGCAGCAGGCGCGAAACCUUUACAAUGCGGGCAACCGUGAUAAGGGAACCUCGAGUGCCUGUAAACGCAGGCUGUUCAGGUGUUUAAAACGCACCUGGAGAAAGGGCCGGGCAAGACCGGUGCCAGCCGCCGCGGUAAUACCGGCGGCUCGAGUGGUGGCCGCUUUUAUUGGGCUUAAAGCGUUCGUAGCUGGGUUGUUAAGUCUCUUGGGAAAUCUGGCGGCUUAACCGUCAGGCGUCUAAGGGAUACUGGCAAUCUUGGAACCGGGAGAGGUGAGGGGUACUUCGGGGGUAGGGGUGAAAUCCUGUAAUCCUCGAGGGACCACCUGUGGCGAAGGCGCCUCACCAGAACGGCUUCGACAGUGAGGGACGAAAGCUGGGGGAGCAAACCGGAUUAGAUACCCGGGUAGUCCCAGCCGUAAACGAUGCGCGUUAGGUGUAUCGGUGACCACGAGUUACCGAGGUGCCGAAGGGAAACCGUGAAACGCGCCGCCUGGGAAGUACGGUCGCAAGGCUGAAACUUAAAGGAAUUGGCGGGGGAGCAC
rnacentral:rRNA from 1 species